rnacentral:rRNA from 1 species
UACAGAGGGUGCGAGCGUUGUCCGGAAUCACUGGGCGUAAAGGGCGCGUAGGCGGUUUUGUAAGUCGGGGGUGAAAUGCUGCGGCUCAACCGCAGCGCUGCCUUCGAGACUGCAAGACUGGAGCACGGUAGAGGCGGAUGGAAUUCCCGGUGUAGCGGUGAAAUGUGUAGAGAUCGGGAGGAACACCGGUGGCGAAGGCGGUCUUCUGGACGGUGACUGACGCUGAGGCGCGAAAGCGUGGGGAGCAAACGGG